rnacentral:rRNA from 1 species
UCGAGCGAUGAAGCUUCCUUCGGGAAGUGGAUUAGCGGCGGACGGGUGAGUAACACGUGGGUAACCUGCCUCAAAGUGGGGGAUAGCCUUCCGAAAGGAAGAUUAAUACCGCAUAAUAUAAGAGAAUUGCAUGAUUUUCUUAUCAAAGAUUUAUUGCUUUGAGAUGGACCCGCGGCGCAUUAGCUAGUUGGUAAGGUAACGGCUUACCAAGGCAACGAUGCGUAGCCGACCUGAGAGGGUGAUCGGCC